CUCUGGAUAACUUGCUAAAUUUUGGUUGGACGUUUUUGGACCCAAAACAACAUUUCCAGAGAAUUUAAUUCUGAGUCCAGAGAAAUUUAUUUCAUUAAAAAAUGUUGAGUAGUUUUUGAGAAAUUUGAGUUUAAGGUACAAAACGUCAGUUUAAUAGACUUCAGGGUUCACUAAUUGGUUUAACUCUGGAUAACUUGGUAAAUUUUGAUUGGACGUUUUUGGACCCAAAACAACAUUUCCAGAGAAUUUAAUUCUGAAUCCAGAGAAAUUUAUUUCAUUAAAAAAUGUUGAGUAGUUUUUGAGAAACUUGAGUUUAAGAUACAAAACGUCAGUUUAAUAGACUUCAGGGUUCACUAAUUGGUUUAACUCUGGAUAACUUGGUAAAUUUUGGUUGGACGUUUUUGAACCCAAAACAACAUUUCCAGAGAAUUUAAUUCUGAAUCCA